rnacentral:rRNA from 1 species
CCGGCACGGGUGAGUAACACGUAUCCAACCUGCCGUCUACUCUUGGCCAGCCUUCUGAAAGGAAGAUUAAUCCAGGAUGGCAUCAUGAGUUCACAUGUCCGCAUGAUAAAGUAUUUUCCGGUAGACGAUGGGGAUGCGUUCCAUUAGAUAGUAGGCGGGGUAACGGCCCACCUAGUCAACGAUGGAUAGGGGUUCUGAGAGGAAGGUCCCCCACAUUGGAACUGAGACACGGUCCAA